GAUGAACGCUGGCGGCGUGCCUAAUACAUGCAAGUCGAGCGAACAGACGAGGAGCUUGCUCCUCUGACGUUAGCGGCGGACGGGUGAGUAACACGUGGAUAACCUACCUAUAAGACUGGGAUAACUUCGGGAAACCGGAGCUAAUACCGGAUAAUAUAUUGAACCGCAUGGUUCAAUAGUGAAAGACGGUUUUGCUGUCACUUAUAGAUGGAUCCGCGCCGCAUUAGCUAGUUGGUAAGGUAACGGCUUACCAAGGCAACGAUGCGUACCCGACCUGAGAGGUGGAGAGGCCAAACGGGAACGGAGACACGGUCCAGACCCCUACGGGAGGAAGCAGUGGGGAAUCUUCGGCAAUGGGAGAAAGCCUGACGGAGAAACGCAGCGGUAGGGAUGAAGGUCUUCGGAUAGUAAAACUCUGUUAUUAGGGAAGAACAAAUGUGUAAGUAACUAUGCACGUCGUGACGGUACCUAAUCAGAAAGCCACGGCUAACUACGUG
rnacentral:rRNA from 1 species